AGGAGAGGGUGCGAAUCAGGAGGGAGAAGAAAGGGGGAGAGCGUGCCGGCGAGUCACUGCCGCUCGUCGCGCCGCUGUCUUCGCCGAUGAAGGAGGAGCGAGGAGAGUGUGUCACGGAGCAGGGGAAGCUCGCGCGAGUGAGGAGCGUCGCCACCGUCGUCGCGCCGUGCGCCGCCAGCUUCGCUGCACCUCGUCAUCACCAUCGCCGUCGGACCGCCAUGGAGUCGUUGCCGUCGAACCGGCGUUGCGAGCUGCUAUCGAGCCUCAAGCAGAAUCCGAUGCGAAGAGAGAGAGACAGAACAACGCGAGGAGAGAGAGAAGGCGUUGCGGGGGUUUCUGCCGCCGCUGCUCUCUCCGCCAUCGCCGCCGCCGGAGUCACGAGCUGAGGUGGGGAAGGAGACCAUUUUCCCUGUUGCUGUUGCAGUCACUGCGCUACUACUGCUACGCUUCAUUUUCCUUGUUUUCCUUAAUUACCGAUUAAGCUGCUGCAACUGUGGACUGUGAUGGUUGAUGCUCUGAAAGAGUUGUCGCUGCUGGGGUGACUGGAAUUACUACUGCCAGUUCUACCGUUGCUACCGAUGCUGUUGACUUGCCCCAAUUCAAGUUCAGUGUCACUGCCCUAGAGUUGUUUCCGCGUUUGAUUCCAUCAAAUUUGAUGUUGCUGCUGUUAAUACUGCUG